CAAUAGCGUAUAUUUAAGUUGCUGCAGUUAAAAAGCUCGUAGUUGGAUUUCGGGUGGGAAUGGCCGGUCCGCCGUUUCGGUGUGCACUUGCUACGCCCACCUUGCUGCCGGGGACGUGCUCUUGAUUUCACGCUCGGGACACGGAGUCGGCGAGGUUACUUUGAGUAAAUUAGAGUGUUCAAAGCAGGCCUACGCUCUGAAUACAUUAGCAUGGAAUAACACGAUAGGACUCUGGCCUAUCUUGUUGGUCUGUAGGACCGGAGUAAUGAUUAAGAGGGACAGUCGGGGGCAUUCGUAUUUCAUUGUCAGAGGUGAAAUUCUUGGAUUUAUGAAAGACGAACUACUGCGAAAGCAUUUGCCAAGGAUGUUUUCAUUAA
rnacentral:rRNA from 1 species